rnacentral:lncRNA from 1 species
GUGAGGACUAAACAUGUCAACAAAACAAGCACUGGUAACAAAACAUUUUAGAACGUUUGCAGCACGCUGGUUUUCACACAUGUCCCUGUUAUUUCGAGAUGAGCAGCUAAAGCAGCAAGAGGGGAGAAAUGAAAGCAUCACAGAAAAAUCUACACCUGGUGGGCAGAUUUUGGCAGAGAGUAAACAGAGAAGCUCCUCUGACAAUAUCAACUCUCCACAAACAAGUGACAACACCUGCAUACCCAAGGACUUCAGCUGCAUAUACAACAAAGGUAAAGCCAGGCCAACAAAAGCUGCAUUAUGAGGCUGAUGAAAGCUACUGCUGCUAG